CAAACGGCCCUUUUCAGGGCCACCCUAAACUAACUCAGCGGUCGGUU
rfam:Macrostomum lignano uti_cns_0045940, whole genome shotgun sequence.